rnacentral:rRNA from 1 species
UACGAAGGGGGCUAGCGUUGCUCGGAAUCACUGGGCGUAAAGGGCGCGUAGGCGGCCGAUCAAGUCAGGGGUGAAAGCCUGUGGCUCAACCACAGAAUUGCCUUUGAUACUGUUUGGCUCGAGACCGGAAGAGGUUGGUGGAACUGCGAGUGUAGAGGUGAAAUUCGUAGAUAUUCGCAAGAACACCAGUGGCGAAGGCGGCCAACUGGUCCGGAUCUGACGCUGAGGCGCGAAAGCGUGGGGAGCAAACAGG